AUGAGUCGACCUGAUGGGAUCAACAUCCCCGACGGCAAGUUCUACCUUGGAGAUGCUGGCUAUGCAUGUCGGCCGGGUGUUCUUCCACCCUUCAGGAAAACCAGGUACCAUCUCAACGAGUUCUCUGGUAGGAACUUUCCUAGGACUGCACAGGAGCUACUUAGUCUCAGACACUCCAGCCUUAGAGUAACUGUUGAGAGGGCAUUUGGAGCUCUGAAGAAUAGGUUUAAGAUCCUGGAUCAGAAGCCAUUCCACCCAUACCCCACUCAGGUUAAACUAGUUCUUGCUUGUUGCAUUCUGCAUAACUGGAUCCUCCAGUGGGGCUUUGAUGAACACGUGUCUGACGAUGUUGUUAGCUCUAGCCAUGAUGUGGAGGCAUUUGACAAUGACGGUUGGAAGAACAAAAAGGUUGGAGCGGGCAGAGGCAAUGUGGCUUAA
rnacentral:rRNA from 1 species